AAAAAGAAUGUUAUAUGGAUGAGUAAAGAUGCUGAAAUAUGCUGCCAGAUGUUCUGCACAAACUUCUUUGUCAUCUGAUAUGACCUAGAGCAGGUGCCUUGAUCUCCUACCAUCUAAUUUUGAGAGUGAAUUCCAGCAUUUGGGUGCUAACAGUCAUUAGUAUUUAAUUUCCCAAUACACUGCCAUGAAUACCACAUCUUGGAAGAAGCUGCAAAAUGAAGUAAUUGAAAGAAAGAUAUCAUCCAGAAUAACCCUCAAACCAAGAAUGGCAGCAUGCCCGAAAGGAUUACUGCUAAAAACUGCAAACAAGCUUGAGUCUAUAAUCCUGAAUUUGAAUUCCUUAGUAUUUUACUGUAUACCUCUAAACAAGAGUCUUUAGAAGAUAAGGCUUCUGGGUCACUCCUAAAAAGAGAUACUUGUACAAAAUAGUCUUUCCUGGUAAAUAAACGAGUAAGGUAAAAAAAAUAAA